GGGCCCGCACAAGCGGUGGAGUAUGUGGUUUAAUUCGAUGCAACGCGAAGAACCUUACCAGGGCUUGACAUCCUGCGAAUCUCUGGGAAACCGGAGAGUGCCUUCGGGAGCGCAGUGACAGGUGGUGCAUGGCUGUCGUCAGCUCGUGUCGUGAGAUGUUGGGUUAAGUCCCGCAACGAGCGCAACCCACGUCUUUAGUUGCCAGCAUUUAGUUGGGCACUCUAGAGAGACCGCCGGUGACAAACCGGAGGAAGGUGUGGAUGACGUCAAGUCAUCAUGCCCCUUACAUCCUGGGCUACACACGUACUACAAUGCUACGGACAAAGAGCAGCAAGUUCGCGAGGACAAGCAAAUCUCAUAAACCGUGGCUCAGUUCAGAUCGUAGGCUGCAACUCGCCUACGUGAAGGAGGAAUCGCUAGUAAUCGCAGGUC
rnacentral:rRNA from 1 species